rnacentral:rRNA from 2 species
UAAAGUGGGGGAUAACAUCUGGAAACAGGUGCUAAUACCGCAUAACAACAAUUUCCACAUGGUCAUUGUUUGAAAGAUGGUUCUGCUAUCGCUUUAGGAUGGACCCGCGGCGUAUUAGCUAGUUGGUGAGGUAACGGCUCACCAAGGCGAUGAUACGUAGCCGACCUGAGAGGGUAAUCGGCCACAUUGGGACUGAGACACGGCCCAAACUCCUACGGGAGGCAGCAGUAGGGAAUCUUCCACAAUGGACGAAAGUCUGAUGGAGCAACGCCGCGUGAGUGAAGAAGGUUUUCGGAUCGUAAAACUCUGUUGUUGAAGAAGAACAUGCGUGAGAGUAACUGUUCAUGUAUUGACGGUAUUCAACCAGAAAGCCACGGCUAACUACGUGCCAGCAGCCGCGGUAAUACGUAGGUGGCAAGCGUUAUCCGGAUUUAUUGGGCGUAAAGCGAGUGCAGGCGGUUUAUAAGGUCUGAUGUGAAAGCCCUCGGCUCAACCGAGGAAGUGCAUCGGAAACCGGUAAACUUGAGUGCAGAAGAGGAGAGUGGAACUCCAUGUGUAGCGGUGGAAUGCGUAGAUAUAUGGAAGAACACCAGUGGCGAAGGCGGCUCUCUGGUCUGUAACUGACGCUGAGGCUCGAAAGCGUGGGUAGCAAACAGGAUUAGAUACCCUGGUAGUCCACGCCGUAAACGAUGAGUGCUAAGUGUUGGAGGGUUUCCGCCCUUCAGUGCUGCAGCUAACGCAUUAAGCACUCCGCCUGGGGAGUACGACCGCAAGGUUGAAACUCAAAGGAAUUGACGGGGGCCCGCACAAGCGGUGGAGCAUGUGGUUUAAUUCGAAGCAACGCGAAGAACCUUACCAGGUCUUGACAUACCAUGAAAGUCUAAGAGAUUAGAGGUUCCCUUCGGGGACAUGGAUACAGGUGGUGCAUGGUUGUCGUCAGCUCGUGUCGUGAGAUGUUGGGGUUAAGUCCCGCAACGAGCGCAACCCUUAUUAUCAGUUGCCAGCAUUCAGUUGGGCACUCUGGUGAGACUGCCGGUGACAAACCGGAGGAAGGUGGGGACGACGUCAAAUCAUCAUGCCCCUUAUGACCUGGGCUACACACGUGCUACAAUGGUCGGUACAACGUGUUGCGAACUCGCGAGGGCAAGCAAAUCACUUAAAACCGAUCUCAGUUCGGAUUGUAGGCUGCAACUCGCCUACAUGAAGCUGGAAUCGCUAGUAAUCGCGGAU